GACGAACGCUGGCGGCGUGCUUAACACAUGCAAGUCGAACGAAGUGGCGAACGGGUGAGUAACGCGUAAUCAACCUGCCCUUCAGAGGGGGACAACAGUUUGAAACGACUGCUAAUACCGCAUACUGUAGGAGGGGAUUGCGUCUGAUUAGCUAGUUGGAGGGGUAACGGCCCGCCAAGGCGAUGAUCAGUAGCCGGUCUGAGGGGCUGAACGGCCACAUUGGGACUGAGACACGGCCCAGACUCCUACGGGAGGCAGCAGGGGGGAAUCUUCGGCAAUGGGGGGAACCCUGACCGAGCAACGCCGCGUGAGUGAAGAAGGUUUUCGGAUCGGAAAGCUCUGUUGUUAAGGAAGCGGUACUUAACCAGAAAGGGACGGCUAACUACGUGCCAGCAGCCGCGGUAAUAC
rnacentral:rRNA from 1 species